UUUCGGAAUAUGCGCACAUACUCAGCGUGGCAAACGCGCGCCGAGGUUAGUGAAGGAAUUCGAGUGUGUGAAGCAGUUGAGUCUCGCCGCCUAAUUAGCAGACAGGCGCCAAGGCUGUUGCGAACGAAGGCGUCGGUUAACCGGCAUUGCGCCGAACAACCCGGGAGGACCACCUCAAGGACGACUGGUUGCGUUUCGGUGUGGUUUCAGGGAAACGAGGGAACCUUUCGCCCUGCAAACGUGUGAAGGCAACCAAGCCGCCCUUCCGACGACGAUUCGUUGCGUUUGACGACGUCUUCUGGGAAACAAUGAUGCCUUUCGCCCCCGCAAAAUGUGCACGCGAUUAAGCGAGCGUACAGGGUCCGAAGCGACUGUCCCUACGGGAAAAAAAUGCGUCCCGUCUUGUGCCCAAGGAUGACUGGCGAGCCGGAGACUCCGAACAUAUUUAGGGCCGUGCCGGCCCGUAGCGCAGUCGACACUGUUGUUCGAGAUCUGCUCAAAGUCUUCGGCCUCUUAGCAGACCGGCGAGAACUCCCGUCAGCAGUAGGCGCACCUGCGUGAUGAAGUGUUUUGUGCCAGGAUGCCCUAAUCGAACAGAAAAUCGGCGCGAUGGCCUGUCCUUCCAUAGACGCUUGCAAAGGACGAUGCCACAGCAAUGAGUCAACCUUAAAGUGAAGCAGCUACAUCCACGGGAACAUAACAGCAUCAAGUUGAGCCAGUAAGUUGGUGCACAGCUGUAUGCAGCCAUAAUGCAUGUUUCCAGUUUGAUCAUACCUUUUUCAUGACUGUGGUAGAUGUCCCCCACCAUUCCUGAAGUGAAAUAUGCUUUUCUUAUAUUCAGGCAGGUCUCUCUCAAGCCACAAUGGAUAUGGACAUCUCUGAGGGCUUGUCUGAUUGAUGUGCUAGCAGAGGGUACUGCUACAUCUGCUAGCGCGUCCUUGACUGAUUCAGACAUCGCUGAUGAGCCUUCCGAAAUCCAACAUGUCCUGGCAUGUUUGAUUGUCGUAAUGAUCACAGAGCUUGCUUAAGACAUUUUCUCACAUGUGUGCCUUGGUUGAUUCAUGUUCUGAUCUGCUUUGCAAAAAUCUGGUGUUUCCCUUUAAUAUAUAUUUUGGAUUUCACCUUUAAAGUAAUUAUUUAAGUUUCAAAAAUGCAUAUGAGACUGUCAUACAGCUUUUUGUAAGAUGUUUUCGACAGAUUUAAAAGAUCUAUUAGUAAUGCUCAGAAUGAAGAGAAAGAUAGAACUGUUCAACCUAUCAUUGGCUACAUUACAGCCCUUUUUUGACACAGGUGACAAGCAUACUGCGUUCAAAUUUCAUUGUUAACACUGGCAAAAGCAAGUGCUAAUGAAUGAAAGCCAUAUAUGCUACAUCAUAAUCUCAUUUUAGUCAAUCUAGGAUAAGUACAAGAUAAGGAAAAUAAAACAAACUGCAGCAAAGCAGUGUUAUGUAAGAUGAAAAACCACUUUUUUUCAGUAAAGUUGGAAUAAGGAAAACACACUCCUUCUCUGAAUUAUACUUCAGCCAUGUCCUCUCAUUACACACAUAAUUAACACCCUUGCUAGGCUCCAACAUUUACAACAGUAAUAAAAUUUAUAACAUGCCAACUGUGCUGGUAAGCUUUAUCAACAUUUUUUGGGACAGUAGAUAAAAAAUACAGUAUAUAGCCACAGCCACUGAUCUCCCUAACAAUGUCCUGCUUGCUGGUCAUUAUUGUGCUUAAAUUUUAAAUGAAGCCAAUGGUGUCGCUAUUAGUCCCAGGUUUUAGCUUCAACUGUGCAUCUGGUGUUUCGUUUGCACGGUCAGCAAUUUCAAGUUAUGUUGCAGUAAGCAGUCCCUCCUCAUUGCACUUGGUGUAUUUUGUCCAGUCUCCCAGUCCAAGGCCCUCCAGGACGCUCAAGGGUGAAGCUUCUGCAGCACUGCCUACACACAACCCAGCGACACCUCGAACAGCAAGGCAUACUAUGGUGAGGAUAAUACUCGACCACUACAAUUUUUACAUACUUGUUUCCUUAGGUAGCUGCAAGUGAAGUGGCAUAUAUUUUCGUGGCAACUGUUUAAUAGCUCAAGCAUAAUAAAUGUCACUCAGUGAACUGCACUUGGACACUAACAUUUAUGAUCAUGGCAACCAUCUAAUUAAAUACUGAAACAUUCAUAUUUGUUCGCAGCGGUAUGAGUUUCCUCAGGGUUUGCAUUAAACACCAAUUAUCGGCCAAUAAUCCUUUUUCAAUUUUUCUUUUCCAUUCAAAUGACACAAUAACUAGAAGACCAACAGGUUUUUCACAAUUUUCUAUGCUCUUUAUAUGUUCGAUCGGUCACAAUGAGCCGUGAUAUAUGAGCUCAGUAUAUUUUGCCCACUCAAACUAAAAGGCUUCUUUAAAACAUCUCUCAUUGAACUAUGCUACAUUGGCCUCUUCUGUGUUAGUUGUUUUGUACUUCUACCUUUCCUGCCUGGGCCCAGAUGGGCCUGCAGUAUUUAGCAAAUAAAUAAACAAACAAAAUUAAGUGGCACUAGCAAGCUCGUGUGGAUGGCAGUUUUAUGCCCCCACAGUUUUUAAGUUCACAAAAGUGUAAACGGAAACCGUCGUGAGCAAUGUAAUGACCUAAAAUUAAGCAUUAUAUUCUUCAUAGCUUGCACAAGAGUGUAUGCCACAACAAUUAAUUUGUUCUGCGUACGUGCUUUGUGUCAUGUUGGUCGCUCAUGCACCUGUUACAGCGCGUGAUAUUUUGCAGCCACAGCCAGCAGAAGACGCACCUGAAAAGGCCUUUCUGAGGCAUGAAGUAUGGCGUUACACAAUUACAAACUGCGACCAAGAAGAAGAUGAAGACUCUACGGCAAUCCCAUCAACAGCUUUUUCAAAAGGUUGCUCAUCUCGAAAAUGUCAUAGAAGAUUUAUCUGACAAUCGCAUUCUAGGAAAUGAGGAUGUCGCCAUAUUGCAGAGUCUUGGUGGGGCAAAAAAAGACUUGCUCAUGCGUCAACUGCCACAUAAGUCUGGUGCCAGCAAUGUCACCCGCUUACUCGCCAGAGCUCAGGCCAUUUGCACUGACUUUGCAUUCUUAUUCCCCUAGAGCAUACAGAUAUGUACGAGCUGUUUUCAACACAUGCCUCCCGCAUCCAAAGACACUGUGUAAAUGAUAUCAAUCCAUUGAUAGGGCUGCUGACUUUUCAAAAGAGGCAAUGACUGCAUUGGCUAUCAAGGUAAAGCACGGCUCUCCACAUUAUGCAAUCUGGUUGUGGAUGAGAUGGCCAUUCAAAGAAGUAGUGUGGGAUGGGAAAAGCUUCCAUGGAUAUGUUGACAUGGGCAUUGAUGUCAAUGAUGACAGCUUUCCAGUUGCCUAAGAUGCAUUUGUUUUAAUGCUUGUUGCAAUCAAUGGCAGAUGGAAGCUGCCGAUUGGCUACUUUCUAGUGCAUGGCCUUGGUGGUGAGCAGAGGCGCAAUUUGGUGCUGCAAGCUGCUAGCUUCACUCACGAAAAAGGUGCACACAUUGUGAGUUUGACCUGCGAUGGCGCUGCAGCGAAUUUGUCAUUGCUGCACAGCCUUGGCUGCAAGAUGGACCUGACUGAGCUGGAUGCUUCUUUUCCACAUCCAGUGACAAAAAAAGCUUUUCUUUGCCAUGUUGGAUCCCUGUCACAUGUUGAAGCUACUGCGGCACACCCUGUUUGAUAAAAAAGCUAUUGUGAUACGAACAAACAGUUCAUAUUGUUGAAACACAUUGAUGAGCUGCAUGAAAUACAGUACACAGAGGGCCUACAUUUGGCAAACAAACUUAGACAAGCACAUAUUACCUGGAAAAGCCAGCCCAUGAAAGUCUCAUUGUUGGCUCAAACGUUUAGUCAAUUGGUAGCAGAUGCUCUUGGUGACUGCAGAGCUCAAAAAAAUUCAAAAUUUUCAAAUUCCUUGCCAACAGAAGAGUUUAUCAGACAUGUCAACAAUGCAUUUGACAUUUUAAAUUCAAGACAUCCAAGGCAAGAAGAAUAGAAAGGACCGCUGUGUCCUGAAAAUGUGGCUCCUGUCACUGCGUAUGUCAAAGAACUUAUGGCCUACUUUGCUCGCUUAGGGAGUCUGCAGCUGGUAAACUAAUGACAGGGACCAACCAAAAGACAGGCUUCAUUUGCUUUGUGGUGUGCUUAGACAACCGUCCAUACAACCACUUGGUUACAGAAAAUGGCCUAUUGGCAUAUCUUCCGACUUCCAAGCUCAGUCAGGACCACCUUGAGUUACUUUUUUGCUGCAAUAAAAUCAUUUGGGGGCUGCAAUGACAACCCAACAGCAAAGCAGUUUGCAGCAGCAUUGAAGCGUCUGAUAGUUCGUAAUGAGGUCAAGGACAUUGAUGGCGGAAAUUGCUUUCUAUUGGAACACAUCGAAAUUCUCUUUGUACGCUCCUCUGAAAAAACCAUACUCCAUCGAUGUAAUUAACCUCACUGCCCCUCAGAGAAGCCCUGCAGCCAGUGAACCACUCACAGAAGCAAUUUUACAGGAUCAUGGUUACUCUGCUGACCCAGGCAAUGUGUCUGAGCUUGGGUGCCUGCGGCUCGCAGUACUGGAAGAAUUGCUACACAAGUUUUCUCGUGGGUGAAUUAUGUUCAUGAUGGCCCACACAAUUAAUUCCUUUAUCCAUCAACUUCAGCUGUCCCACCAGGUUUUAUGUUAAGGCAUUUAUUUGUUUUUUGAGUGACUUUGUAAAGUGCAUAUAUUGUUCAAGAGCGUUGUAUGCAGAUGUCAAACUUUUAUAGAGGGAAAAUGUGAUACCUUAUUGUAAAUUCUGCAAGUACAUGUUUGUUGUCUUGCUGAAUGCUGUAGCUUGAAUCGCCUGCAUGCAAAUUAUGCUUAAACAAUUGUUCUGUUCAGCCCAAGCUAAACAGUGUGGACAAUGACGGUAGGUUAGCUGGCCUACCUUUCACUAGAGCAAACUGUGUGAUGACAUGGACAUGCUGUGAAUGCUCUCAAUGGAUUAUGUGUGAGCUAGGUAUACGCUUGAGGAUGACAAUGUUUUUUUUAAUGUUUAUCCUGUAUGUCUUUUACCUGACUUUUGUGGAAAUUUGCCACUGCCACCUGGAAUACCGUUGGUGUUACUAUUUAAAUAAUUUAAUGUGCUCACUCUGUUCACUUGCUUUACAAUAGCCUUUUAUGAUGCCAGAUUCACUGUAACCACAAACAUUUGGUGUAUACCACUCAAUGAGUGUUUUAAAUACCGUGAAAUAUUCAUUCAUUUGAGGUUCACAACGUAAUAGAGCCAUCGCGUCCUAAUUGCGGUGUGUUGGCUCAGCUUCGACGGUGCUAACUUUUUUGUAGGUAUGU